rnacentral:rRNA from 1 species
CUAAUACAUGCAAGUCGGACGGGAUCCAUCGGUAGCUUGCUAUCAAUGGUGAGAGUGGCGCACGGGUGCGUAACGCGUGAGCAACCUGCCUCCAUCAGGGGGAUAGCCUCUCGAAAGAGAGAUUAACACCGCAUAACAUAUUGUACCGGCAUCGGAAGAUUAUUAAAUAUUUAUAGGAUGGAGAUGGGCUCGCGUGACAUUAGCUAGUUGGUGGGGUAACGGCUUACCAAGGCGACGAUGUCUAGGGGCUCUGAGAGGAGAAUCCCCCACACUGGUACUGAGACACGGACCAGACUCCUACGGGAGGCAGCAGUAAGGAAUAUUGGUCAAUGGGCGGAAGCCUGAACCAGCCAUGCCGCGUGCAGGAUGACUGCCCUAUGGGUUGUAAACUGCUUUUGUCCGGGAAUAAACCUCCUUACGAGUAGGGAGCUGAAUGUACCGGAAGAAUAAGGAUCGGCUAACUCCGUGCCAGCAGCCGCGGUAAUACGGAGGAUCCGAGCGUUAUCCGGAUUUAUUGGGUUUAAAGGGUGCGUAGGCGGCCCGUUAAGUCAGGGGUGAAAUACGGUGGCUCAACCAUCGCAGUGCCUUUGAUACUGACGGGCUUGAAUCCAUAUGAAGUGGGCGGAAUAAGACAAGUAGCGGUGAAAUGCAUAGAUAUGUCUUAGAACUCCGAUUGCGAAGGCAGCUCACUAAGCUGGUAUUGACGCUGAUGCACGAAAGCGUGGGGAUCGAACAGGAUUAGAUACCCUGGUAGUCCACGCCCUAAACGAUGAUAACUCGAUGUUGGCGAUAGACAGCCAGCGUCCCAGCGAAAGCGUUAAGUUAUCCACCUGGGGAGUACGCCCGCAAGGGUGAAACUCAAAG